rnacentral:rRNA from 1 species
UCAGUCGACUCCUACGGGGAGGCAGCAGUGGGGAAUAUUGCACAAUGGGGGAAACCCUGAUGCAGCCAUGCCGCGUGUGUGAAGAAGGCCUUCGGGUUGUAAAGCACUUUCAGUAGGGAGGAAGGUAGUGUAGUUAACACCUGCAUUAUUUGACGUUACCUACAGAAGAAGCACCGGCUAACUCCGUGCCAGCAGCCGCGGUAAUACGGAGGGUGCGAGCGUUAAUCGGAAUUACUGGGCGUAAAGCGCAUGCAGGUGGCCUGUUAAGUCAGAUGUGAAAGCCCGGGGCUUAACCUCGGAAUUGCAUUUGAAACUGGCAGGCUAGAGUCUUGUAGAGGGGGGUAGGAAUUUCAGGUGUAGCGGUGAAAUGCGUAGAGAUCUGAAGGAAUACCAGUGGCGAAGGCGGCCCCCUCGGACAAAGACUGACGCUCAGAUGCGAAAGCGUGGGGAGCAAACAGGAUUAGAUACCCUGGUAG